GGGGUUGUGGCUCAGUGGUAGAGUGCUUGCCUAGCAUGCGUGACUCACUGAGUUUGAUUCUCAACACCA
rnacentral:tRNA from 1 species